rnacentral:rRNA from 1 species
GACAGAGGAUGCAAGCGUUAUCCGGAAUGAUUGGGCGUAAAGCGUCUGUAGGUGGCUUUUUAAGUCUGCCGUCAAAUCCCAGGGCUUAACCCUGGACAGGCGGUGGAAACUACCAAGCUGGAGUACGGUAGGGGCAGGGGGAAUUUCCGGUGGAGCGGUGAAAUGCGUAGAUAUCGGGAGGAACACCAGUGGCGAAGGCGGCUACCUGGCACAUAACUGACGCUGAUACGCGAAAGCGUGGGGAGCGAACCGG